rnacentral:rRNA from 1 species
UACGGGGGGGCAAGCGUUGUUCGGAAUUACUGGGCGUUAAAGGGUUCGUAGGUGGCUUGUUAAGUCAGACGUGAAAUCCCUCGGCUCAACCGGGAACUGCGUCUGAGACUGAUGAGCUCGAGUGCAGGAGAGGAACGCGGAAUUCCAGGUGUAGCGGUGAAAUGCGUAGAUAUCUGGAGGAACACCGGUGGCGAAGGCGGCGUUCUGGACUGCAACUGACACUGAGGAACGAAAGCCAGGGAGCAAACGGG